GAUGAACGCUCGCGGGAGGCCUAACACAUGCAAGCCGAGCGGUAGAGUUUCUUCGGAAACUUGAGAGCGGCGCACGGGUGCGUAACACGUGUGCAACCUACCUUUAUCUGGGGGAUAGCCUUUCGAAAGGAAGAUUAAUACCCCAUAAUAUAAUGAUUGGCAUCAAUUAUUAUAGAAAACUCAGGUGGAUAGAGAUGGGCACGCGCAAGAUUAGAUAGUUGGUGAGGUAACGGCUCACCAAGUCAAUGAUCUUUAGGGGUCCUGAGAGGGAGAUCCCCCACACUUGUACUGCGACACGGACCACACUCCUACGCGAGGCAGCAGUGAGGAAUAUUGUACGAUGGGUGAGGACCUGAUCCAGCCAUCCCGCGUGAAGGAUGACGGUCCUAUGGAUUGUAAACUUCUUUUGAACAGGGUUAAUCCUACUCUCUUGAGAGUAGCUGAAGGUACUGAACGAAUAAGCACCGGCUAACUCCGUG
rnacentral:rRNA from 1 species